UUUGAAUGGGAUGAGAGCAGCAAAAUGCGAUACUGGGUGUGAUGCAGAAUCCCGCGACCAUCGAGUUUUUGAACGCAAGUUGCGCCCGAGGCCUUCCGGCCGAGGGCACGUCUGCCUGGGCGUCACGCCAAAAGACACUCCCAACCCACCCGAGGGGGAGGGACGUGGUGUUUGGUCCCCCGUGCCGCAGGGCGCGGUGGGCCGAAGUUGGGGCUGCCGGCGAAUCGUGUCGGGCACAGCACGUGGUGGGCGACACUCAGUUGUUCUCGGUGCAGCGCCCCGGCACGCGGCCGGCGCAUCGGCCCUAAGGACCCAAGGAGCACCGCAGCGCGUAGCCGCUCGGACCGCGACCCCAGGUCAGUCGGGACUACCCGCUGAGUUUAAGCAUAUCAUAAGGCCGGGAGGAA
rnacentral:rRNA from 1 species